AUACUAAUCCCCCCAGGGGAACCUGGCCCUUAAUUCGAUGAUCCACGAGACUCUUACCCUCCCUCGCGUUGCAGGGCUACGUUAUCGUGUGAUGUAGCUCUGUGGCAUUCAGUUUACAUACCGCCGUUGUGCAGCCUAUACCGAAGAGGGGCCAUAAAUAGGUGACGCAGUAAGUCUUUGAUUGUCUAAAGACUACUACCAAUUCAGGUAAACGUGUAGCCUAUGGGAGGGGGCCGCUGGGUUACAAUUAUAGCUUAUAUUGGAGCCGUUAACUGAGGAAACGGUGAAAGAGGACUUGGAAGUAACAGUUUUAAAAGCAAAAGCUGUGAAUGUGGCUCUAGUAUGUGU
rnacentral:rRNA from 1 species